GAUGAACGCUGGCGGCAUGCCUAAUACAUGCAAGUCGAGCGAACGGACGAGAAGCUUGCUUCUCUGAUGUUAGCGGCGGACGGGUGAGUAACACGUGGAUAACCUACCUAUAAGACUGGGAUAACUUCGGGAAACCGGAGCUAAUACCGGAUAAUAUUUUGAACCGCAUGGUUCAAAAGUGAAAGACGGUCUUGCUGUCACUUAUAGAUGGAUCCGCGCUGCAUUAGCUAGUUGGUAAGGUAACGGCUUACCAAGGCAACGAUGCAUAGCCGACCUGAGAGGGUGAUCGGCCACACUGGAACUGAGACACGGUCCAGACUCCUACGGGAGGCAGGAGUAGGGAAUCUUCCGCAAUGGGCGAAAGCCUGACGGAGCAACGCCGCGUGAGCGAUGAAGGUCUUCGGAUCGUAAAACUCUGUUAUUAGGGAAGAACAUAUGUGUAAGUAACUGUGCACAUCUUGAAGGUACCUAAUCAGAAAGCCACGGCUAACUACGUG
rnacentral:rRNA from 1 species